rnacentral:rRNA from 1 species
UACGUAGGGGGCAAGCGUUGUCCGGAAUCAUUGGGCGUAAAGAGCGUGUAGGCGGCUCGGUAAGUCCGCUGUGAAAGUCCAGGGCUCAACCCUGGAAUGCCGGUGGAAACUGUCGAGCUAGAGUCCGGAAGAGGCGAGUGGAAUUCCUGGUGUAGCGGUGAAAUGCGCAGAUAUCAGGAGGAACACCAAUGGCGAAGGCAGCUCGCUGGGACGGUACUGACGCUGAGACGCGAAGGCUAGGGUAGCAAACAGG